rnacentral:rRNA from 1 species
GAUGAACGCUGGCGGCGUGCCUAACACAUGCAAGUCGAGCGAUUCUCUUCGGAGAAGAGCGGCGGACGGGUGAGUAACGCGUGGGUAACCUGCCCUGUACACACGGAUAACAUACCGAAAGGUAUGCUAAUACGAGAUAAUAUGCUUUUAUCGCAUGGUAGAAGUAUCAAAGCUUUUGCGGUACAGGAUGGACCCGCGUCUGAUUAGCUAGUUGGUAAGGUAACGGCUUACCAAUGCGACGAUCAGUAGCCGACCUGAGAGGGUGAUCGGCCACAUUGGAACUGAGACACGGUCCAAACUCCUACGGGAGGCAGCAGUGGGGAAUAUUGCACAAUGGGCGAAAGCCUGAUGCAGCAACGCCGCGUGAGCGAUGAAGG